UACGAAGGGGGCUAGCGUUGUUCGGAAUUACUGGGCGUAAAGCGCACGUAGGCGGAUCAUUUAGUCAGGGGUGAAAUCCCGGGGCUCAACCUCGGAACUGCCUUUGAUACUGCAAAUCUCGAGUCCGGAAGAGGUGAGUGGAAUUCCUAGUGUAGAGGUGAAAUUCGUAGAUAUUAGGAAGAACACCAGUGGCGAAGGCGGCUCACUGGUCCGGUACUGACGCUGAGGUGCGAAAGCGUGGGGAGCAAACAGG
rnacentral:rRNA from 1 species